AGGGAAUGAAGACACUGUAGGGUUAAGAGCCUGAAUUGUACUUAAAAGUCUUAAGACUUUCUUUCUAAACAGUGUGCCUGGGAAACGCAUAACCCAGAAGAAUUGGCUGAUUGUCUCACUCUGUUCUUCGCUGUAUUGACUUCAAUUCCAAUGUAGACAAGGUUGAUGGUUGCUGAAGCAUCCUGUCUAACUGCUAUUGAACAGUCAUAAUAGGGUUGGCCUGACAUCAGAGGUACCUGAAGACAGCUGGUCACAAUAUCAGGCCCAGUGGCCUGCAUUUCUACCAUGGAUUAUCUUGAACUCUCAUUUUGUGAACCAAGCCCUUACUUGAAGAGCUAUACCUUGCAUUUGGAAUAGUGUUGCUGCAAGAUAGAGAGACUACAAGCCCCAGAUGUUAGGUGCACCUCAACCCACUCACUGAUUUCAACAGCUCUUGACUGCAUGCUUGAUUACGACUGGAAUCUAAAUGCUGAGCUAACAAUUCAGUGGAAAUGGAUAGAAAUAGAAGCUUGCCACAGGAAGAGACCAACACUAAGACGGAAACAGAGACAGAGACAGUGACCAAGACAGAACAUCCUAGAAGAGGGAGGGAGCGGGCCUGAUGAACAAUAGUAAGCAAGAAAAGAAGAGCGUGCAAGAGAACAGCACAUUGGAUGUGGAGAGAAAAAAAACACCCAGUCGUACAGCUCAGCUCACACAACAAAGAGUGCUUUAACUGUACUUAAAAAGCAAGUCAGCUUUUACAUAAAUAGAGGAGGGGAGAAAGAAACAUGACAAACAUGCAAAAGUAAUAA
rnacentral:lncRNA from 1 species